GCGCGGGUGGUGGAAUUGGUAGACACGCUACUUUGAGGGGGUAGUGCCGGUAACGGCGUGUGAGUUCAAGUCUCAUCUCGCGUA
rnacentral:tRNA from 1 species